UACGUAGGGGGCUAGCGUUGUCCGGAAUCAUUGGGCGUAAAGCGCGUGUAGGCGGUCCGGUAAGUCCGCUGUGAAAGUCGGGGGCUCAACCCUCGGAUGCCGGUGGAUACUGUCGGGCUUGAGUACGGAAGAGGCGAGUGGAACUGCGGAGUGUAGAGGUGAAAUUCGUAGAUAUUCGGAAGAACACCAGUGGCGAAGGCGGCUCACUGGCCCGGUAACUGGACGCUGAGGUGCGAAAGCGUGGGGAGCAAAACAGGAUUGAGAAAUCCGUGGUAAGAUCCAGACCA
rnacentral:rRNA from 1 species